GACGAACGCUGGCGGCGUGCCUAAUACAUGCAAGUUGAGCGCUGAAGGUUGGUACUUGUACCAACUGGAUGAGCAGCGAACGGGUGAGUAACGCGUGGGGAAUCUGCCUUUGAGCGGGGGACAACAUUUGGAAACGAAUGCUAAUACCGCAUAACAACUUUAAACACAAGUUUUAAGUUUGAAAGAUGCAAUUGCAUCACUCAAAGAUGAUCCCGCGUUGUAUUAGCUAGUUGGUGAGGUAAAGGCUCACCAAGGCGAUGAUACAUAGCCGACCGGAGAGGGUGAUCGGCCACAUUGGGACUGAGACACGGCCCAAACUCCUACGGGAGGCAGCAGUAGGGAAUCUUCGGCAAUGGACGAAAGUCUGACCGAGCAACGCCGCGUGAGGGAAGAAGGGUUUCGGAUCGUAAAACUCUGUUGGUAGAGAAGAACGUUGGUGAGAGUGGAAAGCUCAUCAAGUGACGGUAACUACCCAGAAAGGGACGGCUAACUACGUG
rnacentral:rRNA from 1 species